CCUACGGGGGGCUGCAGUGGGGAAUAUUGGACAAUGGGGGGAACCCUGAUCCAGCCAUGCCGCGUGUGUGAAGAAGGCCCUCGGGUUGUAAAGCACUUUCAGUGAGGAAGAACGCCUGGUGGUUAAUACCCAUCAGGAAAGACAUCACUCACAGAAGAAGCACCGGCUAACUCCGUGCCAGCAGCCGCGGUAAUACGGAGGGUGCGAGCGUUAAUCGGAAUUACUGGGCGUAAAGCGCGCGUAGGUGGCUUGAUAAGCCGGUUGUGAAAGCCCCGGGCUCAACCUGGGAACGGCAUCCGGAACUGUCAAGCUAGAGUGCAGGAGAGGAAGGUAGAAUUCCCGGUGUAGCGGUGAAAUGCGUAGAGAUCGGGAGGAAUACCAGUGGCGAAGGCGGCCUUCUGGACUGACACUGACACUGAGGUGCGAAAGCGUGGGUAGCAAACAGGAUUAGAUACCCUUGUAGUA
rnacentral:rRNA from 1 species